UGAAGCGGGAAGAGCUCAAGCCUAAAAUCUUCGGAAUUGUAGUCUAUAGGUGCAAACUUGUGCAGCCCCGGGUAGAAAUCCGUUCUUGGAACUGGGUGCCAGAGAGGGUUAGAGCCCCGUCUUUGACUCGGUCGGCUGUGCGUGGUAAGUGUGCUCCAAAGAGUCGGCUUGCUUGGGAAUGCAGGCCAAAUCGGGUGGUAAACUCCAUCUAAAGCUAAAUAUUGGCGAGAGACCGAUAGCGAACAAGUACUGUGAAGGAAAGAUGGAAAGAACUUUGAAAAGAGAGUGAAAAAGGGCUUGAAAUUGUUGAGAGGAGAAGUGAUUGGAGCCUAUCCUGCGCGGCGGGAUACCAGGGCUGGAGCUUGCUUCAACCCCUACCAUGCCGUCGCGCUGGCCAGCAUCGGUUCUCUGUGGGGGACAAGGCUUGGAGGGCAAAGGCGUCAAAAACCUUUGGCUCUGAGCGCAUGACCCGUGGGGGACCGAGGCACCAAGAACGCGCCUAGCGGCCGGCCCAUUGUGCGCUUCGCGUAGCGUUAGCACACUCCGGUGUUCUGAUUCUGCGUUGGGGUUGAUACAGUGGAGCGCUGGACCUGCGUUCUGAAGAUGCUGGCACAAUGGCUUCAACCAGCCCG
rnacentral:rRNA from 1 species